ensembl:lncRNA
AUGCGAAUGUGCUACAAAGUGAGUAUCAGAAAACACAUCCAGACACCUGGACUGUCAAAGACCACUCGGCACGAACAUUCUCCUGGAGACGCUGAGAAAGCACGGAAGGAAUGUCUGUGGAGGAUGUACUCAAACACACCCAUACUUAAGGACACCUGCUGGAGUAUGAUUGACUGGAAGUCUGUCAGUCCAGGUGUGAGGAAGACACACAGAGUGAGUUUGAGCUCAGCAGGUGUGAUGGCUGUGGAUGCAUCUACAGAAACACCACUGGAUACUGUAGCCAUGGAAAGAAGGGGGUCUUCACAGCUUUCUAUUCAGACAAAGAGUUUGCUGGAUUCUGUUCUAUGGACUGCUACUACAGAAUGAAUGAAUGAGUGGUUUAUCUAUCUAUCCAUCUAUCUAUCUGUCUAUCUAUCUAUAAUUUUUUUUUUUUACUUGAAUUGGCGACUGAAACUGAAAGCUAAAUAAAUGUUUUAGUGGAUAAAGCUGUGUCUGUUUG